ACGGGAGGCAGCAGUGGGGAAUAUUGCACAAUGGGCGAAAGCCUGAUGCAGCGACGCCGCGUGAACGAAGAAGUAUUUCGGUAUGUAAAGUUCUAUCAGCAGGGAAGAUAAUGACGGUACCUGACUAAGAAGCACCGGCUAAAUACGUGCCAGCAGCCGCGGUAAUACGUAUGGUGCAAGCGUUAUCCGGAUUUACUGGGUGUAAGGGAGCGUAGGCGGUAUGCUAAGUCUGAUGUGAAAGCCCGAGGCUCAACCUCGGUACUGCAUUGGAAACUGGUAAACUAGAGUGUCGGAGGGGUAAGUGGAAUUCCUAGUGUAGCGGUGAAAUGCGUAGAUAUUAGGAGGAACACCAGUGGCGAAGGCGGCUUACUGGACGAUAACUGACGCUGAGGCUCGAAAGCGUGGGGAGCAAACAGGAUUAGAUACCCUGGUA
rnacentral:rRNA from 1 species